rnacentral:lncRNA from 1 species
UUAUUUCCUUCAUCGUUGCAGAUAGCUUCUGGUGGCUGCUUCUUGACCAAGUGCAGAGCAGCUAAUACUUGUUUGCAAACAGUAGUCCCAAAACAAGACUGAAAGAGCACCCACAGACAACCCAAAGGCUAUUCUGCUGCCGCCAAGGUGGUCUGGGUGAUGGCUGCUUUACCUUAGCUUUCGAGUCUUGCCUGCCAUGUCCUGCUGGCCUGCUGCUGAGCCAGAGAAAUGCACUGUGACUGCCUAAACCAGCAAUUGAGAAAUUACAGCGAAAAGGCCGAACUACUGCAAAUCCUGGAAGGCUCCAUUCUGCUGGGAAAAAGACUGUCGCUCCUGCAGGCAGGCAGGACUGAAGGACUUUUUGGAGGUACAACCCUCAAAACUAGGCUUCAGAAAGACAAGCUAAGAUCUCUGGAUUUUCCUGAACGAUAAGACAGAACUGCAAGAAAGUUCUUCUUCUCUGAUCACUCAAAGAGAAAGAAGUCAUCUAAGCUAAGGGACUGCUGCUUGCUUGGGAGAUUCAGUACUGAGAUCCCACGUAAAUCCUGUUAAUUAAASCUCUGCCAUGCCAAAAUGGGCUGUCAUCUAGUCCCUCUGGAAGGUGGAAGGGUUACUGCUAAAUCCUGCCUGGGAGUUGCAGUUGGAAUACAAGUAGUGCCUCUGCUAGCAUUAGCUGGUAAUCAAAAAGCAGGUGUGACUCUUGUAACUAGUGCAGAGCACGCAUAGGCAGUGCAGGAAGCAAGACCCACGCUGAGUUUUGGUAAGUCACGUGUGAUCUGGAUGUGGCCCACAGACCAAACUUGGCAUUCAUAGCACUAGAGUGCAAAGAAGCUGACAUCAAAAGCGACCAUGCUUCUUAUACCAGCAGACUAAAAAGUACAUUUAAAGAAACAAAACGUCAGACAGUACAAAGAGCAAACAGCUAAUAGGGUAGGCGUUAUCACAACAACUUCAAAUUGUAGCAGAGAGCAGAGCUCCAGUUUUUGAAAACUGGACUUGCAUGAGCACAAUCUGAUCCCUUUUGGUGCUGCCAGGUGAGAAUCAUCACUAUACUAAUGGCUCGGGUUUUUUCAAAUGAAUAAAUAUUAAAAUCUGUGUCA